UACGAAGGGGGCUAGCGUUGCUCGGAAUCACUGGGCGUAAAGCGCACGUAGGCGGAUUGCUAAGUCAGGGGUGAAAUCCUGGAGCUCAACUCCAGAACUGCCUUUGAUACUGGCGAUCUCGAGUCCGGGAGAGGUGAGUGGAACUGCGAGUGUAGAGGUGAAAUUCGUAGAUAUUCGCAAGAACACCAGUGGCGAAGGCGGCUCACUGGCCCGGCUACGUGACGCUGAGGUGCGAAAGCGU
rnacentral:rRNA from 1 species